CACGUAGUUAGCCGGUGCUUCUUCUCCAGGUACCGUCACUUGCGCUUCGUCCCUAGCGAAAGGAGUUUACAACCCGAAGGCCUUCAUCCCCCACGCGGCGUCGCUGCAUCAGGCUUGCGCCCAUUGUGCAAUAUUCCCCACUGCUGCCUCCCGUAGGAGUCUGGGCCGUAUCUCAGUCCCAAUGUGGCCGUACACCCUCUCAGGCCGGCUACCCGUCGACGCCUUGGUAGGCCAUUACCCCCACCAACAAGCUGAUAGGCCGCGAGCUCAUCCCAUACCGCAAAAGCUUUCCACAACAAUAUCCAAAAAAGUUGUCCUAUCCGGUAUUAGACCCAGUUUCCCAAGCUUAUCCCGAAGUACAGGGCAGAUCACCCACGUGUUACUCACCCGUUCGCCACUCGAGUACCAGUGCAAGCACUGGCCUUUCCGUCGACUUGCAUGUGUUAAGCACGCCGCCAGCGUUCAUCCUGAGCCAGGAUCAAACUCU
rnacentral:rRNA from 1 species